GAGCUGGGAAACCCCUCCUUCGCCCACUCCACUCCUCUCGCCCCAUUCCCCACCAUCCGCCGCCCUCCCAUGUCCUCCCUCGCGGCCGCCGCCGCCGCCGCCGUCGCCGCCGCCUCCACCUGGGUAAAAAGCCUCUCCCGCAUCAUCCCCUCCUCCACGCCAGCCGUAAAACCACCCAAGCGCAAUCCCAAGACCACCACCGAUGCUGGCUCCAUCCCGGAUCAGAAGCUCCCGAAGCCCCUCGGCGCACAUCCCGCCGGCGAAGCCGAGUCCGACGCGGGCCACAAGCUAGGGAAGCCCCUUGGCGGUGUCCUCAAGGCCCUCAUCAGGGAGCGGGACCCUGAUAAGCUGGUCUCCAAGUUCGUCGAAGCCUCGUCCGCAUCGUCCCGCUUCCGCGACGGGCGCCGCGCGUACGAUGUAGCGGUGAGCCGCCUCACUUCCUUGGGCCGCAAAGACGGCAUCGAGGCCAUCAUCGAGGCGCAGAAGCCCUUCCUCGAGACCUCGAGCGAGGGAUUUGCCACGCGCCUCAUCCGCCUCUACGGCAGUGCCUCCAUGCCAUCCCACGCGGCCGCAACCUUCCAUCUACUCCCCGCGCGGCAUAAGUCCACGAGGACAUUCAACGCCGUCCUUGCCGCGUACGCCGAGGCCGGAGAUGUUGCCGCGCUCACUGCUGCAUUCCAGGAGAUCCCAGCCGCCCACCCCUCCAUUGUGCCCGACCUAUACUCUUACAACGCGCUCAUCCGCACAUUGUGCCAGAAGUCCAACCUCUCAGCCGCUCUUUAUGCUGUCCAUCUCAUGAAGAAGCACGGUGUUUCACCUGACAUUAUUACUUUCAACUCGCUCUUGGAUGGUUUUCACAACAGUGGCCGUAAUGAUGAAGCCGAGAAAGUAUGGCAAAUGAUUAAGGAGAGGAAUUUGGAGCCAGACGCAAAAUGCUACAAUGCAAAGCUGCGUGGUUUGGUUGCACAAGGGAGGAUUGAUGAUGCAGCUUCUGUGCUUGAGAGGUUGGAGAAGGACGGGCCAAAACCCAAUAUAGUAUCCUACAAUGAGUUGAUUCGAGGAUAUUGCAAAGCAGGGAGGUUCCAGGAGGCCAAGAAGGUGUAUGAUAAUUUGAUGAAGAAUGAGUGUGUCCCAAAUAAGGGGACAUAUGAGAUUCUCGUGCCACACCUUCUGCAGGCUGGAGAGCUGGAUUGUGCACUGAGUUACUGUUAUGAUAUCUUUGCUAGUAAAAAGUGCUGUGGAGUCGAGUGGGGUGUGCUGCAGGAUGUAGUGAAUGCAUUGGUAGAUGCAUCGAGGGUGGUGGAGGCCACCAAGCUUGUUGAGCUUGACUGGCAGAAGUACUACCAUCGGAAGGGUUUGAGGAUGCCGCCUAGUGCUGGAACUGAUGAGGAAGAAUCAAUAUCAGGAGAAAAGGAGUGAAAGUGGAAGAUAAGACUGAAAAAUAAAAUUCAUAGGCUCGUACGCUAGAUUUUAUUUCAAGUGUAUACAUUCUUUUUUUAACAAGAGGAUUUUAUUUAAUUUGUCAGGAUCAUUGUUGUCCUGAAAUUUACUCUGAGCUUUGUCGUCUUGUCAGGUACACACACUGCUAGCUUGUAAGGAUUUCAAUAUUGGGACUUCAUACUGCACAUGAACUCGAGAGCAAACCAUGUGCUAAGGCUAGGCUGUCAAGGUAGUGGAAAAAUAGUGAGAAAUGUGCUAAGGCUAGGCCUUCCUUUUCUGUUAGACUUAAUGAUCAUAAUGGCCCUUUGUUUGUUAGUGGUAAAGGGCUCAAGCAGGAGGACCCUCUUUCGCCCAUAUUAUUUAACUUGGUGGCUGAUGUGUUCUCUAAGAUUCUGCAAAAAGCUGCUCUUAAAAAGAAUAUGUCUGGGGUUCUCCCCCAUGUGAUUUCUGGGGGGAUUAUGAGUCUGCAAUAUUCUGACGAUACCUUGCUGUUUUUGGAGCCUAGUUUAAAUAAUGCUAGAAAUGUUAAGUGGCUUCUCUCUUGUUUUGAUGGUUUGUCUGGUAUGAAGAUUAACUUCAACAAAUGUGAUUUGCUAACUGUUAAUGUGGAAGAAGAGAUUGCUAAGAGUUUGGCCCAGAUCUUUUGCUGCAAGAAAGGGGAUUUACCUUUGAAAUAUUUGGGGGUUCCCUUACAUUUUGCUAAGCUUACAUUAAUAAAAUUAUCAAAAGAAUUUGUGGAUGGAAAGGGAGGCAGCUUAGCUAUGAAGCUAAGUUGGUGCUUAUUCGUACUUGCAUUGCCAGCAUCCCUACAUAUCUUAUGUCCAUUAUUAAAUUUCCUAAGUGUGCAAUCAAAGCUAUUACCUCCCAGAUGGCUCACUUUUUGUGGGGGAAUAUGGGGGACAUUCAUAAAUAUCACUUGGCCAAUUGGGGACUUGUGUCCCAGAGGAAACAAUAUGGUGGCCUGGUGGGAGUUCCUAACUUGAGAGAAGUUAAUAUGUCCUUGCUAGCCUCUUGGGCUAGAAGGUAUUUUGCUGGGGGGGACAAAAAUUGGGUGUCCUUAGUGGACUAUAAGUAUCAAACUAAGAGGCCUAACAUUCUCUGUGCCAAAGAAAAGGUGGGUUCCCCAUUUUGGAAAGGGUUGACUUGGGCUUUAGCUGGGGUGAGGCCUUUCUAUAAAUGGAUUGUUGGUAAUGGUAAUCAGGUAUUUUUCUGGCUUGAUGUUUGGGUCGGGGCGUCUCCUUAAAAACCCAAUUCUGGGAUAUCUAUGAGUUAUGUCAACAACAGAAUGCAACUGUUGAGCAGGUGUGGGAUGGGGUUUCCCUGAAACUAAGAGCAUCUCCAAUAGAUGGUCCAAAUGUAAAAAUACCUAACUUUUGGACCGUCUGGGGCAAAAGACGCUGCUCCAACAGAUGGUCCAUAUGCAAAAAAAUUUGGACCGCGGCCUCCUCGUGAUGUAAAAUACAACACCUCGAGAUGCAAAUUUACAUCACGAGGUGCAUCUGGUCCAAAACCAGCCGCCGCCCGCGAACACCCAACCGCCACUUCAUUUCCUUUCCCGCCCGCCCGCCUGCGAGCCUCCCGGCCGCUGCCGCCAUGGCCGAUGGCAAUGACCCCGCCGCCUUCUCCGCCACCGCCGCAGCCGGUGGGCUGACCCACGUGGCCGCCGCCGCUGCCGCCGCUGCCAUCUCGCCCGCAACCGCUGCCAUGCCGCCGCCCGCCGGCCCGGAUUGGCGCCGCCCCGGCCGGUGGCCACCGCCCCGACCGCGAAGGGACGAGGAGGCAGCGUAAAACGGCCGGCCAACCGCAGCCGCAAUCUGACCGACAGUACGCGGCCGCGGCGGCUCGGGGUGACUACUCGCAGACGGUGCGGCCAGCGGCCACACAUCCAUUCCUCAACCUCCCCCGCCGCCACCGCUGGCUGUGGAGGAAGAUGUGGCCACGCCGACGGCCACCGCCUCCAACAUGUUCGACGAAAUGUCGCAAAGUGUUGAUGAUGAAGCUUUCAUGCAUGCAACAAAUGUGGCAAAUGAUGAUUACAUAUAUGAGUCACAAGAAUAUGAAACCCAAUAUGAUGAUGACAAUCUUGAUGUGGACGAUGAGGGCUUUAUUGUCAAGGGAAGAAGUGGAAAUUAUACCACCACGUAGGAUGUGUUGAUAUGCACUGCUUGGAAGAAAAUCUCUCAAGAUGCAAGCGUUGGAAGCGACCAAACGGGAGCAUCUUGGAAAGACACCCGGAUUGUUCUGGGAAAGAUAAGCAGCUACUUCAUCAAUGGCUGAUUCUGUGCUCGGAGGGACAAUUAUUGAUGAUGAAGGGUCGCUUGCAACUGCUGGACAAAAGAAGAGGAGAGCUCCUGAGGAUCGCUUGGCAAGGGGGAGCAAGAUCGUCCCUGGGCGCGACGGACCUGGGCUCUGUGUGAGAGCUCAUUCUCAUUCGCUGUUCGAUCUAGGUGGUAGUAGUUUUAGUCUAUCUGCUGGGAUUUUUGGCGCCUGUACCUUGCUUCUCUAGUAUUAUACUUUUAUGUGUAGUCUUUGCUGGUCCUGGCUUCAGCUACUCUAGCUUGUGUUGAGCGCUGUUGAACAGUUUGUGUGUUUGCUGUGGCCUCGUUUUAAUGAAAUGGGGCGGGGGGAAACCCCUUUUCGAUCAGAAAAAGAUUUACCA